AAAGUAACGCCUGCCCAGUGAGACUUAAACGGCCGCGGUAUCCUAACCGUGCAAAGGUAGCGUAAUCACUUGUCCCCUAAAUAGGGACUAGUAUGAACGGCUAAAUGAGGGACCCCUGUCUCCUUUAACCAAUCAGUGAAACUGAUCUCCCAGUACAAAAGCUGGGAUAACUAUAUAAGACGAGAAGACCCUGUGGAGCUUCAAAUUAUGGCCAACGACAACCAUCUCCCCCAGGCCCUGGCCUAUUAAUUUCAGUUGGGGCGACUUCGGAAAACAGACAAACUUCCGAGCAAAUAGACCUUAAUCUUGCCUAGACCCACAAGUCUAAAUUCACUGACCCAGUAGCACUGAUCAACGAACCAAGUUACCCAGGGAUAACAGCGCAAUCUUCUUCAAGAGUCCCUAUCGACAAGAAGGUUUACGACCUCGAUGUUGGAUCAGGACACCCAAUUGGUGCAGCCGCUAUNAAGUCGUUGUCAC
rnacentral:rRNA from 1 species